rnacentral:rRNA from 1 species
GACGAACCGUGCGAACGUUAUUCGGAAUCACUGGGCUUAAAGGGCGCGUAGGCGGGCCGAGAAGCCAGGGGUGAAAUCCUCCAGCCCAACUGGAGAAGCGCCUUUGGAACUGGCGGCCUCGAGGGGUGCAGGGGCAUGCGGAACUCAGGGUGGAGCGGUGAAAUGCGUAGAUAUCCUGAGGAACACCGAUGGCGAAAGCGGCGUGCUGGACACCUUCUGACGCUGAGGCGCGAAAGCCAGGGGAGCGAACGGG